UACGGAGGGGGCCAGCGUUGUUCGGAAUCAUUGGGCGUAAAGGGCGCGUAGGCGGCUUUGUAAGUCCGUUGUGAAAUCCCUCGGCUCAACCGAGGAACUGCGACGGAUACUGCUCGGCUUGAGUCCCGGAGAGGGUAGCGGAAUUCCCAGUGUAGCGGUGAAAUGCGUAGAUAUCAGGAGGAACACCAAUGGCGAAGGCAGCUCGCUGGGACGUGACUGACGCUGAGACGCGAAAGCGUGGGGAGCAAACAGG
rnacentral:rRNA from 1 species